CUAAUAGGUUAACAUUUCACAUCACAAGAAGUACUCCAUUCUUUGGCUUUAAGGUUUGAAGGUUGCUCGAGUUGAAAAAUGACCUCAAGGAGAAAAGAAACAAGGGAAGGCUAGUAAAGGCCUUGCAUUGACUCACCAUUAGAAUCCAAACAGAAUACUUAAAUUUUACCAAGUCAACAAGGCAUGGAUAUUGAAGAGCGAUAAUGAUUCCUCAUGGGGGUCGUAAGAUGAAGCACCUGUUGAAAUGCACUGACAACUACUGCUGCAGCUGAUAGCAUGCUCUCCUGCAUGUUUUUGUUAAUUCUUUCAUUGCAUGUAAGCAUUACCGGCAAGACCAGCAUUUGUUACCCAUUCUCAAUUGCUCGAGAAGGUACAGCUAAAAAUCUCAAAAAUCAAUUUAUUUCAGUGGUGAGAAACAUUUCUCCAUACGAGCACAACUGCUGAUGCUUCCAAUUUAUUUUGCUCAUUGCUCACUAGAAUCAAAAUAGAAAUAGAUGAGUUCUCACCACAAACUUUCAGAAAUGUGUGUUUUGUCCUACCCAUCAUUUAAAUUACAAUGUACCAUGCCAACAGUAACUCAGCAAGUCUAAUAAAAUACAUUCUUAUGCCAAAGAUAUUUAAAAUAUUAACUUUUUUGCCCUGUCAUUUCUAAUCAAUUGUUUACCAGUGACGUGAAUGUAAAUGUAAACAAUAACAAGACUUACUGACUGGGUCAGAGCUAAUAAAUAUACAAAUGUCA